UUUUAGGUAAUUUAAAAUCAGAAUACUUAAUUGUUACUUAAGACGUGAUUACCCUCCCUAAAAG
rnacentral:tRNA from 1 species